GGCCAGACUCCUACGGGAGGCAGCAGUGGGGAAUAUUGCACAAUGGGGGAAACCCUGAUGCAGCGACGCCGCGUGAGUGAAGAAGUAUUUCGGUAUGUAAAGCUCUAUCAGCAGGGAAGAAGUUGACGGUACCUGAGUAAGAAGCCCCGGCUAACUACGUGCCAACAGCCGCGGUAAUACGUAGGGGGCAAGCGUUAUCCGGAUUUACUGGGUGUAAAGGGAGCGUAGACGGCAGUGCAAGUCUGAAGUGAAAGCCCCGGGCUUAACCCGGGAAUUGCUUUGGAAACUGUACGGCUGGAGUGCUGGAGAGGUAAGCGGAAUUCCUAGUGUAGCGGUGAAAUGCGUAGAUAUUAGGAGGAACACCAGUGGCGAAGGCGGCUUACUGGACAGUAACUGACGUUGAGGCUCGAAAGCGUGGGGAGCAAACAGGAUUAGAUACCCCAGUAA
rnacentral:rRNA from 1 species